rnacentral:rRNA from 1 species
UACGUAGGGGGCUAGCGUUGUCCGGAUUUAUUGGGCGUAAAGAGCGUGUAGGCGGCCAGAUAGGUCUGCUGUGAAAACUCGAGGCUCAACCUCGAGAUGUCGGCGGAAACCAUUUGGCUAGAGUCCGGAAGAGGAAAGUGGAAUUCCUGGUGUAGCGGUGAAAUGCGCAGAUAUCAGGAAGAACACCCGUGGCGAAGGCGGCUUUCUGGGACGGUACUGACGCUGAGGCACGAAAGCGUGGGUAGCAAACAGG